rnacentral:tRNA from 6 species
GGAUUUUUAGCUCAGCUGGUUAGAAGCAGACGGCUCAUAACCGUCCGGUCGUAGGUUCGAUUCCUACAAGGUCCA